GAUGAAGAACGUAGCGAAAUGCGAUACGUAAUGUGAAUUGCAGAAUUCAGUGCAUCAUCGAAUCUUUGAACGCACAUUGCGCCUGCCAGCACUCUGGCAGGCAUGCCUGUUCGAGCGUCAUUUCAACCAUCAAGCCCUAGGCUUGCGUUGGAGCCCUGCGGCUGCCGCAGGCCCCUAAAAGCAGUGGCGGGCUCGCUAUCACACCGAGUGCAGUAGAUUACUCUUCGCUCAGGGCGUGUGGCGGGUUCCAGCCGUGAAACCCCCUACUUCUCAAGGUUGACCUCGGAUCAGGUAGGAAUACCCGCUGAACUUAAGCAUAUCAAUAAGCGGAGGA
rnacentral:misc_RNA from 1 species